rnacentral:lncRNA from 1 species
CAACUACACAGAGUUCUCUAGCUCUGUGCAGAGCAGGGGAAUCAUAGCUCAAGGCUGUGAAACACCAAGCAGCACUGGAGCAGACCCUAAUGCAAUGAUGGGGACUGUGCUGUUGCAUGAGAGGGAGGAGCAACGUGGCUCUAAACUCACUUCAAAUGCCUGCAGUUAGGACCAUAGGCCCUACCCUGCAUUACCAAGGAAGUGAAGAGGAGAAAAUAGAAUGUGGCAAACCAGGAAGAAGGAGCCAUUGGGAAAUACUAAGAGGAAUGUCCUGUAGAAAAUCUCCAUGGGAGAAGGUCCUAUUUAAGUUCUGUUGAUGGUAAAAUACUAUCAUCUGAAGAUCUUUCAUCUCAAGUAAGGUCCUGAUCGUUCUUUGUGCAUACUUGAUGGAUUGAACUGACCCUCCCUGGAUUUGAUGUACUUGAGCUGAACUUCUAGGAGUUCCUGACUGACUGAAAUAUAAAACCAAGAUCCUGACCACUCUGUGGUCAUUAAAGAUCUCAAGACACUUUUCAGAGCAUCAGGGUAUUAACUACAGCUUUUGAUUUCUCUAAUCAGUUUGUUUGAGUUAAAGCUCAGUUCUCAUCUACAGGGAGCAGAAACAACUUUCUCAACUUGAUGGCUUCUUUACACCACAACCAUGAAUGCAUGUGUCAGAGUCCUUGACUGGUACCAUAUUUGUGCCUUUUAUCAGGAACUACCCAUUUAUUAAACUAUUUUAAAGUACCUUUAGGUACAUGAAUGUUAUUCAGAG